rnacentral:tRNA from 1 species
CGGCGUCACGGGCUUCAAAGCCGGCGCGGUGCCCCUG